AUUGAACGCUGGCGGCAUGCUUUACACAUGCAAGUCGAACGGCAGCGCGGGCUUCGGCCUGGCGGCGAGUGGAGAACGGGUGAGUAAUGCAUCGGAACGUGCCCAGUAGUGGGGGAUAGCCCGGCGAAAGCCGGAUUAAUACCGCAUACGACCUGAGGGUGAAAGCGGGGGACCGAAAGGCCUCGCGCUAUUGGAGCGGCCGAUGUCGGAUUAGCUAGUUGGUGGGGUAAAGGCUUACCAAGGCGACGAUCCGUAGCUGGUCUGAGAGGACGACCAGCCACACUGGGACUGAGACACGGCCCUGACUCCUACGGGAGGCAGCAGUGGGGAAUUUUGGACAAUGGGGGCAACCCUGAUCCAGCCAUGCCGCGUGCGGGAAGAAGGCCUUCGGGUUGUAAACCGCUUUUGUUCGGGAAGAAAUCCUCUGGGCUAAUACCCCGGGGGGAUGACGGUACCGGAAGAAUAAGCACCGGCUAACUACGUG
rnacentral:rRNA from 1 species